GCCCCAAAGAGGGGAGGGAGAAGGCUGGCAUGACCCUCACCUGCCUCUGCAGCAGUAGGGGGCAAACAUGCCAAUGCAGACCCAAGGUGCAGCCUCUCCACCUGUGUACCUUCCUAUUCCUGGUCAGAUGGCUGGUUCAGGACGGUCCUCACCUUGAGCCAGACCAUUGCAUGGUGUCCCUGUCCAGCCCAUCCUCCGGUGAUCCCAGAAGGAUGUUGAGUCACUGGCCUGCAGUGAGCUCACUGGAGUGAGCAGGCACCACACUUGGUCAUCCUAGCCCUGCCUGA